rnacentral:rRNA from 1 species
UACGUAGGGUGCAAGCGUUGUCCGGAAUUAUUGGGCGUAAAGAGCUCGUAGGUGGUCUGUCGCGUCUGCUGUGAAAACUCAGGGCUUAACCCUGAGCUUGCAGUGGGUACGGGCAGACUAGAGUGCGGUAGGGGAGACUGGAAUUCCUGGUGUAGCGGUGAAAUGCGCAGAUAUCAGGAGGAACACCGGUGGCGAAGGCGGGUCUCUGGGCCGUAACUGACGCUGGAGGAGCGAAAGCAUGGGGAGCGAACAGG